rnacentral:pre_miRNA from 13 species
AGGAAGAAAUGGUGUACAGGAAAAUGACCUAUGAAUUGACAGACAGUAUAUUUAGAUUGUCUGUCAUUUCUGUAGGCCAAAGUUCUGCAUGCCUUCACUGCUCC